rnacentral:rRNA from 1 species
GAUGAACGCUGGCGGCGUGCCUAAUACAUGCAAGUCGAGCGAACAGAUGAGGAGCUUGCUCCUCUGACGUUAGCGGCGGACGGGUUAGUAACACGUGGAUAACCUACCUAUAAGACUGGGAUAACUUCGGGAAACCGGAGCUAAUACCGGAUAAUAUAUUGAACCGCAUGGUUCAAUAGUUAAAGACGGUUUUGCUGUCACUUAUAGAUGGAUCCGCGCCGCAUUAGCUAGUUGGUAAGGUAACGGCUUACCAAGGCAACGAUGCGUAGCCGACCUGAGAGGGUGAUCGGCCACACUGGAACUGAGACACGGUCCAGACUCCUACGGGAGGCAGCAGUAGGGAAUCUUCCGCAAUGGGCGAAAGCCUGACGGAGCAACGCCGCGUGAGUGAUGAAGGUCUUCGGAUCGUAAAACUCUGUUAUUAGGGAAGAACAAAUGUGUAAGUAACUAUGCACGUCUUGACGGUACCUAAUCAGAAAGCCACGGCUAACUACGUG